CCUCAAAUCAACAAACAGCAAACACACAACAAAUACCAAACACCUUUUCGAGUAAAGCAGCUGGAAAAGGUGAAAGAGUUGUGAUUCGAUAUCGAGUGUGGCUUUUGUGACUCAAUUACAAUAAGUCUAUUAAACUUAUGUCUGCGGUUUGUCUAGACCAGAGACGGGAAAAGGCAGCCCGGUUGCCGAUCAGUCACAAUGUCUAGGUCCGGGCACUGGGGUUGAACAGAAGAGUCGAAGAGCAGAAGUGCAGACGAGCAGACGAGCGCGUGCCCCUUUUGACUUUCGACUGGUUCUUUGUGCCACCAUCUAACAACAGAGCCUGCCACAGUCAAAGGAUCAAGAAGAUGAUGAUGAUGAUUUGAUGAUGAUGAUGGUGCGAAGGAGUUCCAGCUGCCGGUAUGGACUAUGUCUCGAUUUCACUUUCGCUACGCCUCUGCCACAUACUAUACAUAUUUCAAAUGAAAACGUGGUCCUUGAUCGUUGCUCUUUUCCUUUUUCCCGUCUACCUCUCUCUGUCCCUCUCCCCUCAUCAUUUUUUUGUGGCAUCAUCGGCUGCGGUUUUGAUUACGUAUUUAUGGAGUGCACAAUGGACGGCAGGACGCCUGCAAAAGGAGUAAACAUUUUGAAGUAGCGCCGUUUCGAAAAUGCUUUAUAGGUUUGUCAGCGAUCGAAAUAUAUAAAUGUUCGACUGUCCGUCUAUCUCUCCACCUCCUUUAUGCGUUUUGUCAACAUAUCAUAUUACGCCCCCGUCCCAGGAUCACGAUGAGACUAUGCCCAUAAUCGCUAAUGACAAUACAAAUUGAGAGUGGAGAGCGAAGAGAGCUCUCUGCAUCGGCUUUGUUGGUUUUUCUGGGAAGCCUCAGACAGGCACUGACAGCCGGCGCAUCGUGCUUAAAAAUUUGUAAACAAUAUAUGUAUUUGUUUAGCAUUUAAGUGAAUUUUGAACGCCUGGAACGAGUUUCACAAUCGUCUGUUUUUUUUCGGGGGGUUGUUCGAGCUCGCCACCUUGAUCCAUCGAUUAAUAUUCGUGGAAAUGCAAAACAACGAAAAGACUGUGGCAUUGUAUGAUAUUAAGCGGUAAUUAAAGACAGCCUUGCAUUUUGUGUAAUCUCGAAAACGUCAAGUUGAUCAACAAAGAUCAUAAAAAAAUGCAGGGGCCCAAGAUUCCAAAUUUGCGUGCUAGACUUUUUUUUUUGUAAUUUUACUUCUCUUAUCAAAUCAUUCAGUAAUAUCUUAUUUUUUAAAAUUUUUCUGAGAAUAAACAGUUGUAAUCAAAAUUUUAAUCAAAUGUAUAUUUAGGAGUUUUCCAAAUAAUUAAUUACGUGAAACGGCGCCUACUCCGCGACAGAAUCAAACGAGGAAUGACAGUUGAGUCGGAACUCCUAAUUUAAUUUGUAUACAUAAGAACAUAUAAAUUAAAAUUGCCGUGAUUAAUGAUGAUUGUCUUGAGAGGGAGGGGUGCACUUGUAUCGGCUUCCAGGCUCACACAAAUCCCAAAUCAAACAAGACAACAGAUAGCAACAACAAGGAAGAUCAAACAUGCUAAAAGGCAUUACUAUGUAUUAAGGAACAACACUGAUAAACUGUCCAGCAGUAUAGCAAGUAUUAAGCAACCCUCUGGGUGCAGUGAGGGGCGCCACCCUCUGUCAGUUAGUCAAUAAGCGACGUCGUGCAACACGAUCCAUCAUCAACAUUCAAGUUGAAAGCUGUACAUAAAUAAACAGUGAAGAGCUACUACUAUUGGUGAAAUACGAUGCCUCGAUGACAACAGAAAGUAGACGUCACACAUCAUUGCUCCCUCCAAAGGUUGGAUCAGGGGACUACAGGAGGUAUCAUUCUGUUGCCAGAUGACUGACAGAUCAACGUCAGAGAGCAGCCCACAGCAUGAGAUGAGUUUUUAGCGCAGCUUGCGAUCGGCACGCGACAUUGGAAAAGCUGCCUCAUUGACUGCCACUGCUAUGCAGCAGGAAAUACUUACAACAUAUUUCAAUAUGCAACGCCACGGGAUGAGGUCAAAUUAUUAAAACUGAUGAUGAGGAUGCUGCAAAUGGUUUUCUCGCGAGCUUAUCAAUGUGUUUCCAUUAGGAUAUCAACCCCAAACGGAUGCCUCAUUCCACUUUCUUUUCGCCUUUGCUUCAGAACAGCUAAAGCAUUUCAAAUUCCCUACUCACCUCUCAUUCCAUAAAUUUUGAUAAUAUAAAACUCGAAACCA